CAGCGCCGCGGUAAUACGAAGGGUGCAAGCGUUAAUCGGAAUUACUGGGCGUAAAGCGUGCGUAGGCGGUUUGUUAAGUCUGUUGUGAAAUCCCCGGGCUCAACCUGGGAAUGGCAAUGGAUACUGGCAAGCUAGAGUGUGUCAGAGGAUGGUGGAAUUCCCGGUGUAGCGGUGAAAUGCGUAGAGAUCGGAAGGAACAUCUGUGGCGAAGGCGACUAUCUGGGCCAACACUGACACUGAGGCACGAAAGCGUGGGGAGCAAACAGGAUUAGAUACCCCGGUAGUCCCUGUCUCUUAUACA
rnacentral:rRNA from 1 species